AACGAACGCUGGCGGCAGGCCUAACACAUGCAAGUCGAGCGAAGCCUUCGGGCUUAGCGGCGGACGGGUGAGUAACGCGUGGGAACGUGCCCUUUGGUACGGAAUAGCCCCGGGAAACUGGGAGUAAUACCGUAUGUGGUCGAGAGACGAAAGAUUUAUCGCCAAAGGAUCGGCCCGCGUUGGAUUAGGUAGUUGGUGGGGUAAUGGCCUACCAAGCCGGCGAUCCAUAGCUGGUUUGAGAGGAUGAUCAGCCACACUGGGACUGAGACACGGCCCAGACUCCUACGGGAGGCAGCAGUGGGGAAUCUUGGACAAUGGGGGCAACCCUGAUCCAGCCAUGCCGCGUGAUCGAUGAAGGCCUUAGGGUUGUAAAGAUCUUUCAGCUGGGAAGAUAAUGACGGUACCAGCAGAAGAAGCCCCGGCUAACUCCGUGCCAGCCGCCGCGGUAACAC
rnacentral:rRNA from 1 species